rnacentral:rRNA from 1 species
CUGCCGCCGGCGACCGACGCACGGGUGAGUAACACGUAUGCAACCUGGCCGUGACAGAUGGAUAACCGGGAGAAAUCCCGCCUAAUACAACAUAAUGCCGGGAGGGGACAUCCCCUGCCGGCCAAAGGGGGCGACCCCGGUCACGGAUGGGCAUGCGGCGCAUUAGGUAGUUGGUGGGGCAACGGCCCACCAAGCCGACGAUGCGUAGGGGUUCUGAGAGGAAGGUCCCCCACAUUGGAACUGAGACACGGUCCAAACUCCUACGGAAGGCAGCAG